AACGAACGCUGGCGGCAUGCCUAACACAUGCAAGUCGAACGAGAUCCUUCGGGGUCUAGUGGCGCACGGGUGCGUAACGCGUGGGAAUCUGCCCUUAGGUUCGGAAUAACAGUUAGAAAUGACUGCUAAUACCGGAUGAUGACGUUAAGUCCAAAGAUUUAUCGCCUGAGGAUGAGCCCGCGUAGGAUUAGCUAGUUGGUGUGGUAAAGGCGCACCAAGGCGACGAUCCUUAGCUGGUCUGAGAGGAUGAUCAGCCACACUGGGACUGAGACACGGCCCAGACUCCUACGGGAGGAAGCAGUGGGGAAUAUUGGACAAUGGGCGCAAGCCUGAUCCAGCAAUGCCGCGUGAGUGAUGAAGGCCUUAGGGUUGUAAAGCUCUUUUACCCGAGAUGAUAAUGACAGUAUCGGGAGAAUAAGCCCCGGCUAACUCCGUG
rnacentral:rRNA from 1 species